ensembl:lncRNA
UUAGGUAGUGAUGUAGGCGGGAGUACAGUUUGCGCCAGUCCGCCAAUAAGAGGAAGAGGGUGUGUCAUAUGCAAAUAACAUUGACCGCCCCUCGGCCCCCUGCAAGCCACGCCCCCUUUCCGAGUUCCCUGCAGAGAUGGUGAGGAGAGAUACAUAGCUAGAAAGCUAGAGCUCCCUAGAGGGUCUAAGACUGGGCUAAACACUUCCUGAUAUCCUGAAAAAGGGAAUGUAGGGUACAGACUGAAACAUUCCUUCCAUCGAAACAUUGAUUCAGCCUCAGGCAAAACCUAAGCUUAGCUCUACAGAAGACUGCAGGAUUGUAGGACUGCAUCCAGGGAUCUCCAAGAACUUUACGUUAGGCUUGUUGUGCAAAAGACCAUUUACCUGAAGCUUGACAUUCGUAUGGAGGUAGAUAUUUGAGAUCAAAGAGGCCAAAGGGAAUGUGGCAACAGUGGAAGGGCAAGGAGUCAUGGGAUUGAACUCGGGUCCUUACACUUGCGAGGCAGGCGCCGAACCACUGAGCUAAAUCCCUGGCCCUCAUACUGGAGAUCGAACUCAGGACCUUGCGCUUGUGAGCUCCAGCAACUGAUGGAAGCCAUUCAUUUGGCCUGAAGUAAUCUGUGUUUUCUGUGCCUCUGAAUGUGCCAAUUUCAGUGUCUAUGAUGGCAAACUUGUGAGUCUUUGCUAUGUUCGAAACUGAGCACUCCAAGCAAGUAGAUACUUCUGGUAUGCCAAGGAAAGACAGAGAUUACUCCAGCAAAAGUAACCUUCCUGCCAAUCUACAUUAUAAUUCUAAGAGGCAUCUGGUCAAGUUAACCAAGAAAACAUAUUUGAUCAUGGAGGAGCUUAACUGACCCGUUUCACUAUACCUUUUUAUAUCUUGAUAGAACAAUAUGGAUAUGGGUUAUUUUCUUAGAGUACUUGCCACCUGCUUUGUGAUUAUGUUUUUAGUUGGCUUCCUUUUCCACAAGAUUAUAGGCUUCAUGAUGACAAUUUUAUUCAUCAUUCUAUCCUCAAUACAAUAAUUUUGGGGGCAAAGAAAUGAAUUUAAAAAGUCAGCACAAAAAAGUCUUCCAGUCUAUGCCAUAAGAAUAGUGAAUGCUCCUCAGGUUAGUAAAAUGUGGAUUGCAUUACUUGGGAGUUUCUAAUAACUAGUGAUUGUAAGCUAAGUUUGCAUUAUGUGUAUAUGCAACACUGAAUAUAGUUUUGUUUUGGAACAGGAGCAAGCAUUCAGGCUGCAGUGGAUAACUACUGUUUUGUCCUUUAGCUCUUGUUCUUCCUUUGGGUAGCUCCUGGCUGUGUGGAUCUGAGCAAUUUCUUGCCCCUUUACUCUCAGCUCUAUCCUUGUCUUCUUGCAAUUGCACCUCCAGCAGGUACAAUGGGUCCAGCAUUGGUAUGUGAGUCUCUGUUCCUCCAGGGAAGCACCUUUCCCAGGGACAUGAAGCUUUGUUCAGCUCCAGUCCCAGCUGGUCUUGUCAGAGGAUUUCUAGAACAGGAGGCUGUUGUGUUUCCUUGGAAAAAAAUGAUCUGGACCUGUGGGGUGUCUACACAGAAGCCACACAGGAGGGGGUGUGGUUGGGGACAGAAAGAGAAAGGGAAAAAAGGG